CGGGAUGUAGCUCAGCUUGGUAGAGCACCUGCUUUGGGAGCAGGGGGUCGCAGGUUCAAAUCCUGUCAUCCCGACCA
rnacentral:tRNA from 3 species